UCUUGACUGAUUUCGACAUCCGGUUAAAUAUUAAUAUUUUAAAAAUUUUAUCUUGUCUCCUUGGUACUUGAAAUACCUUAUUAUGCCUCACUUGACUUCUGAAUCGCCUUUUAUCUCACAAAUUCUCCUAUGAUAAAAUUAUUAUUAUUUUAUUGUUAUUUUCUCACUUGCGAAAUAUUUUAUCCUAAACUACUCCUUUCAUCUUUUAUCACUUUUAAACAUUUUAAUUGACCUCAAUUUGCAUUCGAUCAACUUUAUUUAUCACUAUAUCAAAGUAUGGGGUAUUUC
rnacentral:lncRNA from 1 species